GCCCGGGCGGGGCGGCCGCGCAGGGGAACGGCUCUCUGCAUUCGGGCACAGGGAACUCGCUCUGCCCGCGCACCGUGAAACACGCGGGGAAAAAACAAAACCAAAAGCCUCCUGACAUUAGAGAAAGUGUGCAAGCAGCGUUUCCGGUAGAGCAGCAGUGCUCAGGGCUUUCUUGGAUGCGCUGUGAAGACAGAAGUGAAGCUGUGAAUCGAGGUUAAUUGAAAUGCUUACGUGAUGGUGAUGUGCCAGAUUCCCUGCUCUAAGUCUCAGGAGGAAACUUGCAGAAAUCCAGCUAUAAAACGUUCUGAUGGGUAACAUGCUAUUCCUAAACUACAAAGAACUGACUACAUGUAGGACAGCAUUGACUUAUGGGGUGAAAUAAGGAGAAAGCUGUCAAAGGACUGGGUAUGCCUGAAGCAGAAGAAAGGGGAAAUUCUUCCUCACAUUGAAGCUGUUGACCUGCACAAAGUCACCAAGUUUGUUGGGUCAGAGAGGGAGAGCAUGAGAAUCAUGGCUUUCUACUCUGGGAACCAGUGUGCUCCCUUGGGAGGUAUGUCCCCAUCCCUUACUGUCUGGACAAAAUCUAAGUGG